rnacentral:rRNA from 1 species
UACGUAGGGUGCAAGCGUUGUCCGGAAUUAUUGGGCGUAAAGAGCUCGUAGGCGGUUUGUCGCGUCUGCUGUGAAAAUCCAGGGCUUAACCCUGGACCUGCAGUGGGUACGGGCAGACUAGAGUGCGGUAGGGAGAUCGGAAUUCCUGGUGUAGCGGUGAAAUGCGUAGAUAUCAGGAGGAACACCGAGUGGAGCGGAAGGCGGUCGUCUGGGCUGACACUGACGCUCAUGACACGAAAGGCGUGGGGAGCAAACGAGG